UACACGCAUUACACAAACACAGAAAAAACCCCAAACAAAAUAACACAAACACACAAUAAAAACAACCCACCCUACAGUUAGCUACAAACAGUUGUGCAGUGCAAACUACCAAACAGUAAAUGUGCAAAACAAAUCAAAAUCCAGGACAAAUACUGAUGUGCAGGAACAUAAACAGACGGUUUACACAUAUGACAAAACAAAACUUGACAAAGAACAACAUCCUUUGAUCCAGUGAAGAAGGCUUCAAAAUAUAAGCCGAAACGUCGGUAACGAAGGGAAACGGUUGUUACUUUUAUUCGACGGACUGAAAAGCCAAAUAUGAAGAAAACUG